rnacentral:rRNA from 1 species
UGAGGUGUGAGAUCAUAUCGGACAAUCGGGUUGUGAGCCUGAUCCAGCCAUCCCGCGUGAAGGACGACGGCCCUAUGGGUUGUAAACUUCUUUUGUAUAGGGAUAAACCUACCCUCGUGAGGGUAGCUGAAGGUACUAUACGAAUAAGCACCGGCUAACUCCGUGCCAGCAGCCGCGGUAAUUAAAAUAUAA